rnacentral:tRNA from 1 species
GGCGCGUUGGCGAAGUGGUAACGCAGGAGUCUGCAAAACUCCCAUGCGCCGGUUCAAUUCCGGCACGCGCCU